UACGUAGGGGGCUAGCGUUGUCCGGAAUUAUUGGGCGUAAAGGGCGCGUAGGCGGCCCGGUAAGUCAAAGGUGAAAUCCCUCGGCUCAACUGAGGAACUGCCUUUGAAACUGUCGGGCUUGAGGCCGGGAGAGGGUAGUGGAAUUCCCAGUGUAGCGGUGAAAUGCGUAGAUAUUGGGAGGAACACCAGUGGCGAAGGCGGCUACCUGGACCGGUUCUGACGCUGAGGCGCGAAAGCGUGGGUAGCAAACAGG
rnacentral:rRNA from 1 species